rnacentral:rRNA from 1 species
GAUGAACGCUAGCGGCAGGCUUAACACAUGCAAGUCGAGGGGCAGCGCGGGAUAGCAAUAUCCUGGCGGCGACCGGCGGAAGGGUGCGUAACGCGUGAGCGACAUGCCCGUUGCCCGGGGACAACCGGUGGAAACGCCGACUAAUCCCCGAUGGGAUAUUGUGCCGCAUGGCACGAUAUUGAAAGUUACGGCGGCGACGGAUUGGCUCGCGUCCGAUUAGCUUGUUGGCGGGGUAACGGCCCACCAAGGCUGCGUUCGGUAGGGGUUCUGAGAGGAAGGCCCCCCACAAUGGGACUGAGACACGGCCCAUACUCCUACGGGAGGCAGCAGUGAGGAAUAUUGGUCAAUGGGCGGAAGCCUGAACCAGCCAUGCCGCGUGCGGGAAGGAGGCCCUAUGGGCUGUGAACCGCUUUUGCCUGGGGGCAAUAAGGGCGUCGCGCACGUCCGAUGAGAGUACCAGGCGAAUAAGCAUCGGCUAACUCCGUG